GUGAUUUGUAUGUGACUGUACAUGACAUUUCUUGAUGUUCUUUCAGUUGAAUUAAAGAAAUGAAAUGUUUAUUAUUUAAGUAAAGCCACCAACUAAUCUGCCUGCUGAGUUAGCCCUGCACUGAUGCACUGACCACAUCCCAGGGAAAGUGAUACAUCUGUUUCUCAGCAGCUUCUCUGCCUCUUUUCAGUGUCCUCUCUGCCACAGCCCUGUGGUAUCCAUCUACAGUACUGCACACAGCCACGUGCCAGACUCAGGGUCUGACCCCACUGGAAGCAGGCCGCUCUGACUGUUGCUUUGGAGCACCAUUGGCCUCAGCCUCCACAGCACAGCGUUGGCUGCUGCAGCUGAGUCAUGCACGAAGGCACUGCCAGCUGCAGCCCAGAGCGGCAACACAGAUCAGUGCAGGUGCUGAGCUGCACGGUGAGGCUGUGCCCUGUGCAGCACAGAGGUCCUGCUGCUGGAGCUGCACACCAUGGCGGAUGGCAGCGGGAAGUGACAGUCCCAAUCUCACUUCAUCUGAGAGCAUUCAGAGUGCUGAACUACUAGAAAAACGGCAAGCAAACAGCAGCCAAAAAUUUCCCCUCGUACUCGCAUGCAAACGCGCACGGAACCCACAAGCGAACUGCCCUGCGUGCCUUUAAGCAAGUCAGGGCCAAGGGGAGCCAGCCCGGCCGCGGGGAUGUCCGUGUGGCACUGAAGGACGGGAAGGGAAAGCUCCACUCCCAACCCAACGCUCGGUCGGGCACACCGUACGCCGCUCAACAUGCAUUACGCCCAGCUCCUCCCCUCGCUGCCCGCCCCUCCCGGGGCGGUUUCAGAGCCCCGCGGCCGCCCCCGCCCAGCCCAGCCCAGCCCAGCCCCGGGCGGCUCCGGGGGAGCUGCCGCAGCCCGCGGGACGCCUGGACCGAAGCUGCGCGGGGACCGCCCGCCGCUGCUCCGCGCCGCCCUCUUUCCUGCCUCGGGCCGGGGCUCCGCAUUGAUGCCGCCAAAUAAAUAACUGAUUAAAGCACGGGAAAGAAAGAAA
rnacentral:lncRNA from 1 species